UCCUUCUGGGCAUGUCAGACCACCCCCAAUCGGUGUUCUUGCGUGCCCCCCUCCACCUCUACUGCCACCUGAAGACAAACAAAAAGAAGACAAAAUUGAAAGAUUAAAAGGAGAAAAUUGAAGAGAAAGAGGGGGAUUAUUCGGAUAGGUACCCAAAAAAAACCAAAGAAAAAAGCAGAGAAAAUUCAAAAAAAAUAAAAACAGCAGCAAGCCAAAAGACCCUCGCCACUGUCGCGCCACCACCAUCGUCGCUCCACCGCCGAAACCAAAUCAAGGGCCAAGCAAGCAUAAACAAAAAAAACAGCAAACAAGAAACAACAAAAAACAGCAAAGAAGAAAAAAGAGAGAGAGGAGGAGAAGAAAGGAGCACCUACCAUCGCACCACUGAGCCGAGGAGAAGCACGAGCGGUGGCGUGAAGGAGGUGGCAGCAGUGUGAGUUCGGGCUAGGGGGCCGAACGAAGAAGAAAAGAAAAAGGAAAAAAGAGGGAAGGAAAAAGAAAAAGGAAAGAAAAAGAAAGAAGAAAAAAUUUAAAACAGUCGGGUCGACCCGACCCGAACUGAUCCGCACCCGACCACCUACCCGACCCAACGCCCACUAGCUGACCCGACCCAGCAGGCCAGCC
rnacentral:lncRNA from 1 species